rnacentral:rRNA from 1 species
GACGGGGGGAUGCAAGUGUUAUCCGGAAUCACUGGGCGUAAAGCGGUCUGCAGGUGGUUUCCUAAGUCCACUGUUAAACCUUGAGGCUCAACCUCAAAUCUGCAUUGGAAACUAGGAGACUUGAGUAUAGUAGGGGUAGAGGGAAUUUCCAGUGGAGCGGUGAAAUGCGUAGAUAUCAAGAGGAACACCUGAGGCGAAGGCGGGUUGCUGGCUGACACUGACGCUGAGUGCGCGAAAGCCAGGGGAGCAAAACGGG